ACACGACUACAUUAGAUACCCGGGUAGUCCCAGUCGUAAACUAUGCGCGUUAGGUGUACUGGUGACCACGAGUCACCGGGGUGCCGAAGGGAAACCGUGAAACGUGCCGCCUGGGAAGUACGGUCGCAAGGCUGAAACUUAAAGGAAUUGGCGGGGAGCACCACAACGGGUGGAGCCUGCGGUUUAAUUGGACUCAACGCCGGAAAUCUCACCGGAUAGGACAGGCAUAUGAUAGUCGGGCUGAAGACUCUACUUGAUGAUCUG
rnacentral:rRNA from 1 species